UGGGGAAUUUUGCACAAUGGGGGAAACCCUGAUGCAGCGACGCCGCGUGAUUUAGAAGGCCUUCGGGUUGUAAAAAUCUUUUGUAUGGGAAGAAAAUGACAGUACCAUACGAAUAAGGACCGGCUAAUUACGUGCCAGCAGCCGCGGUAAUACGUAAGGUCCGAGCGUUGUCCGGAAUCAUUGGGCGUAAAGGGUACGUAGGCGGAUAAGCAAGUUAGAAGUGAAGUCCUAUAGCUCAACUAUAGUAAGCUUUUAAAACUGCUCAUCUUGAGGUAUGGAAGGGAAAGUGGAAUUCCUAGUGUAGCGGUGAAAUGCGCAGAUAUUAGGAGGAAUACCGGUGGCGAAGGCGACUUUCUGGCCAUAUACUGACGCUGAGGUACGAAAGCGUGGGUAGCAAACAGG
rnacentral:rRNA from 1 species